ACAGCCAUAUCAUGUUGAAACACCAGUCCGCAUAUGAUGACCAAAGUUAAGCAGUGUUGAGUUUGGUCAGUACCUAGAUGGGUGACCAUUUAGGAAUACCAGGUGCUGUAAG